rnacentral:rRNA from 1 species
UACGUAGGGUGCGAGCGUUGUCCGGAAUUACUGGGCGUAAAGAGCUCGUAGGUGGUUUGUUGCGUUGUUCGUGAAAUCUCACGGCUUAACUGUGAGCGUGCGGGCGAUACGGGCAGACUAGAGUACUGCAGGGGAGACUGGAAUUCCUGGUGUAGCGGUGGAAUGCGCAGAUAUCAGGAGGAACACCGGUGGCGAAGGCGGGUCUCUGGGCAGUAACUGACGCUGAGGAGCGAAAGCGUGGGGAGCGAACAGG